rnacentral:ncRNA from 1 species
AAAAUUCUAUGUGAAAAAAUUUACAAAUAAAUAAAAUUUUUUAUGGUUUUGAAAAUUCAUUUUAAAUUUAUUUUACAUAUAAAUUUUAGUGUUAAAUAUUGAUUAUUUAAAUAAUAAUUAAUUAUAAUUAUAGUAAUUAAUUUUAAAAAUUUAAGAAAUUAAGAUUUAGUAAUAUUUAAAUUAAUAACUAAUUUUGUGCCAGCAGUUGCGGUUAAACAAAAAUUAAUAUGAAUUUUUUUAGUGUUAAUAAUUAAUUAUAAUUGAAAUAAUUUAAAUUUUAAAUUAUUAAGUGAAAUUUUUAUUUAAUAAAAAAUUAUUAAUAAAUUAUGAUUUAAUAAAUUUUAUAAAAAACUAGGAUUAGAUACCCUAUUAUUAAAAAUUUAAAUUUAUAAUACUAAAAUAGUAAAUAUUAAUUAUUGAAACUUAAAUAAUUUGGCGGUAUUUUAGUUUAUUUAGAGGAAUCUGUUUAAUAAUUGAUAAUCCACGAAUAAAUUUACUUAAUUUAUUAUUUUGUAUAUCGUUGUUAAAAAAAUAUUUUUAAAUAAUAAUAAUAUUUAAAAUUUAAAAUAAAAAGUUAAAUCAGAUCAAGAUGCAGAUUAUAGUUAAGAAUAUAAUGGAUUACAAUAAAUUUAUUUAAAUUGAAUUUUAAUAUGAAAAGAUUAAAUGAAAUAGGAUUUAAAUGUAAUUUUAUUUAAAUUGAUAAAAUGAUUAUAAAUUAAAAUAUGUACAUAUUGCCCGUCGCUUUCAUUUAUAAAUUGGAAUAAGUCGUAACAAAGUAGAGGUACUGGAAAGUGUUUCUAGAAAGAU